AACGCACAUUGCGCCCUUUGGCAUUCCGAAGGGCAUGCCCGUUCGAGCGUCAUUAAAUCCAAUCAAGCCUGGCUUGGUGUUGGGCGUCGGGGUCUCCCCGCGCCUCAAUUUCGCCGGCUGGCCGUCGCCCGUCUUAGCGUUGUGACUCACGUUUCGCUACCGAUGGGACCGGACCACGCCGUUAAAAUCCCACGAAUUUCCAUCGAAAUUUGAUUAAGGUUGACCUCGGAUCGGGUAGGAGUACCCGCUGAACUUAA
rnacentral:misc_RNA from 1 species